rnacentral:misc_RNA from 1 species
AAAAAGAAUUGGAUUACAUUGAUAAUGAUUGGAAUGGAACCAUAGGAUAUGGCCUAAUUGCUUUCAUGCUGCGUUUAGGGAGAAAAUAUUAGCAGAAAACCACUGGUUCUAAUUUCAUCAUAUCUGGUUAUUUCAAAAGCUUUAGAUUUUCUACUACUCUUUUCCUGAUAUUGGGCCCUUGUUAUCUGCCUCUUUCGCUUCUUCUCUGGCUGAUGAUGAUUCCUUCUCUCGUUGUCCUUCCUCAGCUUUCAACUUCGCUUCCUCUUUUGCCGUUUCAAGGGCUCCAAUAAGACUCUCCAAGCAGACUUCAGCAUUCCAAGGAACAGUCUUCGGCAUCAAAUGCUCAGCUACAUCGGCAGGAGUCAUUUUGGCUUCCUUCAACAAGUCACUAAUUUUAUCAAACAGGUGGUGUGAUUCAAGUUGAAGGUAAUUUUUAGCCAACACCUUGAAUGCCUCAAAGCUGCAAUAGGACAAUUCUAUGUGUUUGUCCAUCCUUCCUUUCCUGAUAAGAGCUGGGUCAAGUUUCUCCACAAAAUUCGUUGUGAAGACGAUGAGCCUUUCUCCUCCACAAGCUGACCAUAACCCAUCGAUAAAAUUCAAUAGUCCAGAAAGAGUAACUUGGCUG